rnacentral:rRNA from 1 species
CCUACGGGGCGCAGCAGUGGGGAAUAUUGCACAAUGGGCGCAAGCCUGAUGCAGCCAUGCCGCGUGUGAAGAAGGCCUUCGGGUUGUAAAGCACUUUCAGCGGGGAGGAAGGCGUUAAGGUUAAUAACCUUGGCGAUUGACGCUACCCGCAGAAGAAGCACCGGCUAACUCCGUGCCAGCAGCCGCGGUAAUACGGAGGGUGCAAGCGAUAAUCGGAAUUACUGGGCGUAAAGCGCACGCAGGAGGUCUGUCAAGUCGGAUGUGAAAGCCCCGGGCUCAACCUGGGAACUGCAUUCGAAACUGGCAGGCUAGAGUCUUGUAGAGGGGGGUAGAAUUCCAGGUGUAGCGGUGAAAUGCGUAGAGAUCUGGAGGAAUACCGGUGGCGAAGGCGGCCCCCUGGACAAAGACUGACGCUCAGGUGCGAAAGCGUGGGGAGCAAACAGGAUUAGAUACCCCAGUAGUC